AGCUCGAAGAGCGUCUGUUAAUGUUGCUGCGCUUGAAACGCUCGUCGUUGGAUCUCUGGCAAUUGCCUGCGGACACCUUUAUGGUGAUACCGUAGGAAAGUGCCUUUUUGUAUCUAUUCGUCGUAGAUGCACUUAAUUGUGUGUCACGUUCGAGAGCCACUUUCACUUUGGAGAAAUCAGUGUGCUCAUCACAGGCUUAUGCCUGCAUAUAACUGCAUGGGAUGAUGAAAUUGGGCCUUUGACUCGUUUCGUUGGUUUUCGAUUGCAGAGGCCAUGAUUAAUCGGGACAGACGGGGGCAUUCGUACUGCGUCGAUAGAAGUGAAAUUCGAUGACCGCCGUAAGACGAACAAUCGCGAAAGCAUUUGCCAAGAAUGUUUUCA
rnacentral:rRNA from 1 species